GACAGAGGCCCACGAACGUUGUUCGGAAUUACUGGGCAUAAAGCGCACGUAGGCGGCCUCCUAAGUCGGACGUGAAAGCCCCAGGCUUAACCUGGGAACUGCGUCUGAUACUGGGAGGCUUGGAUUCGGGAGAGGGAUGUGGAAUUCCAGGUGUAGCGGUGAAAUGCGUAGAUAUCUGGAGGAACACCGGUGGCGAAGGCGGCAUCCUGGACCGAGAUCGACGCUGAGGCGCGAAAGCUAGGGGAGCAAAC
rnacentral:rRNA from 1 species